AUACUUGCCUGACGAGGGAGACAGCAUGAUCAGGAAGUUGGUUUUCUCAUGCUGUUUCAUCUGUCGCAGUGUGGGUGUGCUUGACCCUUGAGGUUUACCCAGAAGUAGGAAACAUCGCUGCAUAAUUUUGGGGUGGGGUGCGCAUUCACACUCCCCUG
rnacentral:snRNA from 11 species